AUGGCCGGACCUGAGUGUGUCUCAGCCUCAACAGUAGAUUAAGUUCCACAUCCUUCCUCAUUUACCCCAAGAAAUCAACCUGAAGCAGCCCCUGCCAGCUAACCCUCUAGAGAUCAAGUGGAACCUGGAAGGAUGAGCGAGGUUGCACCCUGCUGGAGAAACCAUACUAAGGUGCCCAAGUCCAGAGACCACCCCCACCAAGGGCCAACCCUGGAAGAGCCAAGACUCUCCCAGACAACCAUAGUGCAGAGAUUGAAAGAGAACUGGAAGACCAGCCCUUGGUCUCAGAAACCAUUAAAGGUAUACCAGUGCAUCACAAGGUGACAUCACCAUCCUGAGAC